AACUGUCCUACACAACCUAUCUUGUCAAGGAAAAUUUUUUAGCAAUCCCCGGUUUUGUCUUUUUAUUGGUUAACCAUGAAUUUACCUAUCUUUAUUAAGCCCCCAUGCCAUUUUCUUUUCAUCAUGUCCGUACAUGGGUUAUUUUAGGAAUUUUGAGAAUUUAUUUGUCCCAGGAUUUGCAUUAUUUGUCAUGUUGAUGUUUG
rnacentral:lncRNA from 1 species